UGGGGAAUAUUGCACAAUGGGCGCAAGCCUGAUGCAGCCAUGCCGCGUGUGUGAAGAAGGCCUUCGGGUUGUAAAGCACUUUCAGCGAGGAGGAAGGGUAGUGUGUUAAUAGCACAUUGCAUUGACGUUACUCGCAGAAGAAGCACCGGCUAACUCCGUGCCAGCAGCCGCGGUAAUACGGAGGGUGCAAGCGUUAAUCGGAAUUACUGGGCGUAAAGCGCACGCAGGCGGUAUGUUAAGUCAGAUGUGAAAUCCCCGCGCUUAACGUGGGAACUGCAUUUGAAACUGGCAAGCUAGAGUCUUGUAGAGGGGGGUAGAAUUCCAGGUGUAGCGGUGAAAUGCGUAGAGAUCAGGAGGAAUACCGGUGGCGAAGGCGGCCCCCUGGACAAAGACUGACGCUCAGGUGCGAAAGCGUGGGGAGCAAACA
rnacentral:rRNA from 1 species